rnacentral:misc_RNA from 1 species
UGAGUGUCAGAGUCAUAGGCUUACAGUUGAAGAUCCUGUUACUGUUGAGUACAUAACUCGUUACAUUGCUGGUCUUCAGCAAAAGUACACCCAAAGUGGUGGGGUGAGGCCAUUUGGUCUAUCCACCUUGAUCAUUGGUUUUGACCCACACACAGGUGUCCCCUCACUUUACCAAACAGAUCCAUCAGGUACAUUCUCAGCUUGGAAAGCCAAUGCGACUGGUAGAAACUCCAACUCUACUCGGGAAUUCUUGGAGAAGAAUUACAAAGAAACAUCUGGCCAGGAAACUGUGAAACUAGCAAUACGUGCAUUGCUUGAAGUUGUUGAAAGUGGUGGAAAAAACAUAGAA